UACGGAGGGGGCUAGCGUUGUUCGGAAUUACUGGGCGUAAAGCGCACGUAGGCGGCUUUGUAAGUUAGAGGUGAAAGCCCGGGGCUCAACCCCGGAACUGCCUUUGAAACUAGAUGGCUUGAAUCUUGGAGAGGCGAGUGGAAUUCCGAGUGUAGAGGUGAAAUUCGUAGAUAUUCGGAAGAACACCAGUGGCGAAGGCGACUCGCUGGACAAGUAUUGACGCUGAGGUGCGAAAGCGUGGGGAGCAAACAGG
rnacentral:rRNA from 1 species